rnacentral:rRNA from 1 species
UACAGAGGGUGCAAGCGUUGUUCGGAAUUAUUGGGCGUAAAGCGCGUGUAGGCGGCUUUGCAAGUCGGGUGUGAAAGCCCUCAGCUCAACUGAGGAGGUGCGCCCGAAACUGCAGAGCUUGAGUACCGGAGAGGAUGGCGGAAUUCCCCAAGUAGAGGUGAAAUUCGUAGAUAUGGGGAGGAACACCGGUGGCGAAGGCGGCCAUCUGGACGGAUACUGACGCUGAGACGCGAAAGCGUGGGGAGCAAACAGG